AGGUUAUGGUUUGGGUCCAAAUAGCAACUCAGCAAAUAUGAAAGGAAAUGGUUAUCCUGCAAACAAAGGUACAGGUGCUUAUGGAAGUGCACAAAAUAAGCCUGGAUAUGGAGGUCAUCCCCCAUAUGGUGGAACAGGCAUGGGAACAAUGAACCAACAUGCAUUAAAGCAGAGGGGAGGUAUGUGAUCUAAAUAAAAUAAAUCUUGAAAAUUUUUAUUUUUCUCCUGGAAAAAAAAGAGACUUUGAACACUGUCUAAUAGUAAUCUGGUGAACCUAGUAUAAUCUAUAGGCUUCCUUUUAAAAGAUUUGAUGAUGAUUUUUGCAUGUUAGUCUAUAAAACAAAAUCUAAAAGUUUACUAGAAAAGAUUCUGUAUGGGGGAGAUCAGACAUAGUUGUAACAUGGGGGUCAGUUAUAACCAAAGCCUAUAGAAUAACACAAGACGCAUCACUCGUAUAGUUUUGAAUGGGGGAAAGUGCAACGCGCAAUAUGGCGGAAUAAGUCCCGCCUUCUAAAUAAGAGCCAAUCGCCAAUUGGUAAAGUC